rnacentral:rRNA from 1 species
UACGUAGGGUGCAAGCGUUGUCCGGAUUUACUGGGCGUAAAGAGCGCGCAGGCGGUCGUCCAAGUCGCGUGUGAAAGCCCCCCGGCUCAACUGGGGAGGGUCACGCUAUACUGGUCGACUCGAAGGCAGGAGAGGGUAGUGGAAUUCCCGGUGUAGUGGUGAAAUGCGUAGAUAUCGGGAGGAACACCGGUGGCGAAGGCGGGUCUCUGGGCAGUAACUGACGCUGAGGAGCGAAAGCGUGGGGAGCGAACAGG